rnacentral:rRNA from 1 species
UACGAAGGGUGCAAGCGUUACUCGGAAUUACUGGGCGUAAAGCGUGCGUAGGUGGUGCGUUAAGUCUGUCGUGAAAGCCCCGGGCUCAACCUGGGAAUGGCGAUGGAUACUGGCGCGCUAGAGUGCGGUAGAGGAGAGUGGAAUUCCCGGUGUAGCAGUGAAAUGCGUAGAGAUCGGGAGGAACACCAGUUGCGAAGGCGACUCACUGGACACAUAUUGACGCUGAGGUGCGAAAGCGUGGGGAGCAAACAGG